UACGUAGGGUGCGAGCGUUGUCCGGAAUUAUUGGGCGUAAAGAGCUCGUAGGCGGCCUGUCGCGUCGUUGUGAAAGCCCCGGGGCUUAACCCCGGGUCUGCAGUCGAUACGGGCAGGCUAGAGUUCGGUAGGGGAGAUCGGAAUUCCUGGUGUAGCGGUGAAAAUGCGCAGAUAUCAGGAGGAACAGCCGGUGGCGAAGGCGGCCUUCUGGACAGUGACUGACGCUGAGACGCGAAGCGUGGGGAGCAAACAGG
rnacentral:rRNA from 1 species